CGAAAAGCGAUGAAAGAGAAGAGUACAUAUUCAAAACUUUUCAGAGAGCUGAUAUGUGGUGGAAAUCAGUAAGGGAUGAAUAUGGAAUGGGCUCUGGAGCUUCUAACUGAAAUGAGUAGGUAAAGACGGUUGCUUCACGUUAAGAAGUUGAAGUGAGCUAUUCAUGAUAGCUAAUUAAGGUGGUACCGCGGGAGUCUCUCGUCCUUUUU
rnacentral:ncRNA from 1 species